UACAGAGGGGGCCAGCGUUUUCGGAAUUAUUGGGCGUAAAGGGCGCGUAGGCGGCCAUGCGUGUCUUCCGUGAAAUCCCUCGGCUUAACUGAGGACGUGCGGAAGAAACUGCAAGGCUUGAGUCCGGGAGAGGGGGGUGGAAUUCCCAGUGUAGCGGUGAAAUGCGUAGAUAUUGGGAGGAACACCGGUGGCGAAGGCGGCCCCCUGGACCGGUACUGACGCUGAGGCGCGAAAGCGUGGGUAGCAAACGGG
rnacentral:rRNA from 1 species